rnacentral:lncRNA from 1 species
UGUCAGAAAAACUUCAGGAUCAGCCCCGAAGGCUCAAUAAAACCAAAGCUCUGUUAACGACGUUUAAUAGGCUCUAUCUAGCAACGUCUGUGAUAGAGGAGGCAGCAAUCAGCAGUGAGGCCAGUUUAAUAAAGGAUGUUUCUAAGCCACAAAUGUGUUUUCCCAGCUUGUUAAUGACACUUGGUUGCAAAGGACGGCAGCAUUCCUCUCCUGCACCUGGCACUCCGUUUCCCUGCUGAGCUGUGCAGUGUAUGGGAUCCGUGCUCUGUGGGUGCUCCCCAGGACUCCAGCGCUGGGACAGGGCACAGGGGUGGGAAGGGGUUCCUAGGGGAUCCCCAACCCCUGCACUGUGGGACAGUGGUGCUGCCGGGGAGCUUUCAGAGCUGAGAUUUCAGUUCUCUGCUCGGCCGCAUUCCCCAAAGACCACAGCAGGGAUUUACCGAUGAGGGCGUCAGUUCUUCCUCCCGCACCCGUACAAUCGCUGUCCGUGUAUCUCGGCUCCCUUCCAAGCCCUAAGGGAACAGCCAGGUUCAAGUCACCUUGCCCCAAAUUCCCCUUAAUCCCUCUACUCUGGGGCGGAAGAAAGAGACACCUCCUCCACACCCCUCCUCCCCUUCCCGGAGUCGGAUUUGAAUACCCAGGUGUGAGCAUCAGCCACCCUCGAGUUAACGAGUUUGAUAAUUUACCCGGCUCAUUCCUGCCGGAGGGAUCCGAACGCAGCGCGGCUCUUCCCGGCCCCGCACCGCCACCCGCAGCCCUACCGCCCCGCAUCGUAACCCCGCACCAUGCCGGCCCUGCGGCUCCUCGCCCUCGGGCUCCUCCUGGCUCUGGAGCCCGCGAGCUGCCAGGAAGCCAGGGGCAAACUUCAGCCUUGGUCACAAGGUGUCAUUGCUGUGGUGGUGUUUCUGGUGCUGGUGGCAAUCUGCUUCGUGGUCAACAGGUUCUGGUGCAAGAAGCAGCAGGAUAA